ensembl:rRNA 5S_rRNA 5S ribosomal RNA
GUCUAUGGCCAUACCACCCAGAAAACACACAAUCUUGUCGGAUCUUGGAAGCAAGGCAGGGUUGGGCCUGGUUAGUACUCUCCAUUCAGAAAGGAAAUGGAGUGGAAGGGA